AAGAAACGUUAGGAAAGGAAAUGGGUUGUAAAUUGUAAUGUAUAGUGAGAAAUGGCCUAAAAAAGGAGUUAGAGGGAGGUUUUGCCUAUUUGCCAACUGCUAGUGCAGACGUAGGAGGGGUCUUUCUCACGUGCACAAGACUCUACACUUUCCACACAAUGUUAGAAGAAGAUUUUGUUCCCCUAUUCUCAUCGCACAGUCUUCUUCAUUUUCUUCUUCUUCACGGUCUCCUCUUUUAGACCAAGCAAGCUUGGUUCUUCGUUUUCAUUCUUUUCCAGAAUUAAUAAAUUCCAAAUUCAAAUUCAUUAUCUUUCUCUGAUUAUGGGGAUAAGGAUUGAUAGUUGGAACUUUUGGAUUUUGGUUUGCUUCAAGAGCAUGGUUGUCCUGGCCUUUCAGAUAGGCUUAACAGUUCUGGAUGCUUAACUGUACGGUGUGGAUUUCUUUAGAGCUGGGUUCUUAACUUUCAUGGGCUUUAUUGCAUUUUGAAAACAAGAGCUUCCCUAGGUCUACAUUUAAGGCUUCUUUUUAUUGGGUAUGGAGCACCUUCCAGUUGAAGUCAUAGGUAACAUAUUAUCCCGGCUUAAAGCUGCCCGGGACGUGGUAAUUGCAUCCGCAACUUGCAAGAAAUGGAGAGAGGCUUGGCGGAAUCACCUCCAUACUCUUUCUUUCAAUUCCAAUGAUUGGUCUGUAUAUCAUGAUCUGGCACCAAGUAGGUUGGAAAUUCUUAUAACUCAAACAAUAUUCCAAACCACAGCAUUGCAGUGUUUAUCAAUUUUUAUGGACGAUGUAGAUGAAUUUUCGGCUGCCCCAGUGAUAGCUUGGCUCAUGUAUACCCGGGAUACCUUGCGGCAACUACAUUAUAAUGUGAGGACAACCCCGAAUGUCAAUAUCAUUGAGAAAUGCAGUCGGCAGAAGCUUGAAGUAUUGUCAUUGGCUCAUAACUCUGUAACAGGUGUUGAACCCAGUUAUCAGAAAUUUCCAUGUUUGAAGUCACUUUCCCUAAGUUAUGUCAGUAUAUCAGCUUUGGAUUUGAGCCUUUUGCUCACCGCAUGUCCAAAACUUCAGAAUUUGACCCUUAUUAAUCCUGAUAUUGCCAUGUCGGACGCACAGGCAAUUAUGGAACUUAACAGCUCUUCAUUGAAAGAUAUCUAUGUGGAAGCUGUCAGUUUAGACAAGUUCAUAUUGGAGGCUGAUAGCGUUGAGAAUCUGCACCUGAAAGAUUGUACCCUUGAGGCUUUUGAGCUUAUUGGUAAGGGUUCAUUGAGGGAUCUGAAGAUUGAUGAUGUUAGUGUCCUCCAUCUAGAUAUUGGUGAGAACACAGAAAAUCUUCAGAUUGUGGAUGUUAGCAGCUUUACGAUUAUGUGGCCAAAGUUCUAUAACAUGAUCUCAAAAUCAUCAAAUUUAAAGAGGCUUCGGCUCUGGGGUGUUGUAUUUGAUGAUGAGGAUGAGGUCGUGGAUUUGGAGACUGUUUCUGUUUGCUUCCCUCGGUUAAGUCACCUGUCACUAAGUUAUGAUUUAAGAGAUGUCUGUGGCUUGCAGGGGACAUCUCCUUUGGAGAACGUGGUUGUGUUAGAACUUGGGUGGACGAUAAUCAGUGACCUUUUCUCUGACUGGGUGGCCGGACUUCUAGAAAGAUGCCCUAACUUGAAGAAGUUGGUUAUUUGUGGCGUUGUUUCAGAAGUUAAAUCCCAUGAAGAAUGCCAAGUUUUAGCAAGCUUCACUUCGUCCAUUGUCCGACUGAUGAGAAAAUAUCUGCGUGUAGAGGUUCAGUUUGAGUAUGAAUAGAAGUCCUGCUGACUGCUGUGGUGAUUGUUCAAAUUUGGUUCCGCAUGAUUGUACAACAAGUGUGGUUACUAUUUGGAUAAUUUGGAUUGAAGCUGUUCAUGGUACUCAAUAUGGCUACAUUCCUGAAUAUGGGUCCUGGGUAUGGUAUGCUAUGUCUCCCGAUUGCUUGAGCAGGUGAGAAUCACCAUCAAAUUAGAUUUCAGAUUCCAGAAGAAAGGAGACAUGCUAAUCCAACAAAUAUGAAAAAUGCAAAAAUAAACGCCACUCUCGCAACACAAAGCGUGCUAGGGUGAGGGCAGCAAAUGGUCUGAACACCACAUUACAUACAUUAGCUUGAGCAUGGAACAGCCUCAUGAUAUUCUCUAUUAGAUUAAGCUUUAGCAGCCCCACACACAUCAUCAUUGUUCAAGAGUAUAGCAGCUUCCAUAGAUUCCAAUUUCUCCACGAGAGGGUGAAAGUCAGCAUCAAUAGAAAAUUGAACACCUUGCUUGAACGCCCAAUAGUUCAUGUUUGUUUAGAACAAUAUCCCCAACGAUCAUCGACUGCCCCAUCUGUAUUUAGCUUAAAAGAACCUGUGGGUGUUUCCCCUGCCUGCAGCAA